GAUGAAGACGUAGUAAAAUGCGAUACUUGGUGUGAAUUGCAGAAUCCCGUGAACCAUCGAGUUUUUGAACGCAAGUUGCGCCCGAAGCCUUUUGGCCGAGGGCACGUCUGCCUGGGCGUCACGCAUCGCGUCGCCCCCCACAAUUCUCCGUAAAGGGAACGUGUGUUUUGGGGGCGGAUAUUGGUCUCCCGUGCUCAUGGCGUGGUUGGCCGAAAUAGGAGUCCUUUCGAUGGACGCACGAACUAGUGGUGGUCGUAAAAACCCUCGUCUUUUGUUUCGUGCUGUUGCUCGCAAGGUAAACUCUUUAAAAACCCCAAUGUGUCGUCUCUUGACGACGCUUCGACCGCGACCCCAGGUCAGGCGGGGCUACCCGCUGAGUUUAAGCAUAUCAAUAAGCGGAGGA
rnacentral:misc_RNA from 1 species